rnacentral:lncRNA from 1 species
UUGCUCCGUACAGCAAUUUUUUGUUCCUGCACUCAACAAAACCGACAAUUCCACUGCCGCCAGGAACAACCACACCAUUUUCUUUGACAUCAAGCUUGAUAAUGGGAUGAAAGACAAAGGCGUACACUAUGAUCCCAUAAAUUUCACCUUUUUUUAUGAUCAAAAUUAUAGCUUUCCUAUAGCCACCUACACAGUGCCAGGGUUCUACCAGGGUCACGGUAAGCACACCAGCCGGAAAGCGCUGGUGGAGGCUAACGGAGUGCCAUGGGUGGCAGCUUUUGAGGCUGUUUCAAAUGGGUCCCCGGUGUCUUUUCGAGCGGGAUUGGCUACUAGAGUGAAGUUCAAGAUCUUGUCUUUUUAUACAAAGAAACACAAUCUGAUUGUGAAGGGGGAAAUACCGGUGGACGACUCCGGUAAGAAAAAGAAUAAGAAGGGUAUUAAACUCAAGUCCAACGCACCCCAUCAGAGGAGCCAUAGGCUGAGACUGGAAUUUGGGGUGGUUAUUUUCACUUUCUUCUUAAUCUUUUUGCUAUAAAUCUUAUAUUUUGUUUGGUUAAUUCAUGGCUAGAAUCUUCUAUGAUUUGAGGUUCUUUGAAAUAGUUGUGUCUUUGUUAGAUAUAAUUGCAUAUCCAUCUGUAACAACUUAUCCAACCAGUGAAUUUUCAGAUAUCCACAACCCCAUCUUUAACAAUUUCCAGGUUGCAUUUAGUUCUUGAACUUAUUAUGUAACCACUCAUCUCUGCUUCUGUAGUUCUUGUCGCAUCAAUUUCGUCUCCCUCUAACUUGGUUGUUGUUCUAUUGUGUCUCUGUAUUUCUUACUCUUAACUUUAAUCGAAGGUUAGACAAUUUAUGAAUUGGUUGUAGUAUUGUAAAAAGAAGUUCACAUAUUCCUCAUGAAUUCCUUUCAAUUCAAGCCAUACUCCUUCCUUUCCCGUUUCAAUUCAUUACCAUCAUCCACAGGGAAACAGCCUUUUCGACAUGCUUGAUUGUUGCGAAUGGCUGUGGUUGUAUUAACUGCUGCUACACUAAUCUGCUGCUUAUUUUAUGCUGUCCUAAUUGCUUUAUUGUGAGUCUACAAAUUCUUUUUUUGGUAUUGGUACUGCUACUUCAGUUUCAUGAAUUUUACUAUUUUAAUUUAGUUAUGGAAGGGCAUAUACAUUUUUGCUUUACAGUUGGCUUGACAUGUAGUAUAAUAGUUCUGUGUUUUCUAGAAGCGUACACUUUCGAAAUGAAUGCCCAUAUAUAGUAAUCCUUUUGUGUGGAGGUUACCUUUCUGCCUAUAUCCAAGAAAAAGAUGAGCUAUCAAUUUGGAUUGUAGAAGAAUGGGAAAAUGGAAUAAUAAGCGCAUUCUAUGAUAAAAAUUGGGGUAGUUUUUGCUUAGUUUAAUACUGUUUAUAUAAUGGAUUUCAUAAGUAUAUCUUGAUAUGGAUGAAAUUUUAGUAUCCAAAUUUGAUUUCAGGUUUGGGAAUCCGACAGUAGAUUGUUCUACUGUAAAUAGAUGACAUCUUACAUGCUUGAAGGGCGAUAUGCAUAGCAAGCCAGCUUAAGAAAAUCUCCAAACUAGAAUUGCUAGUGUAAAGAGUACUGAUUUCCUCUACAUUACAAGAACUCAGGUGACAUUAAGUACAGGAUACACGUAUCUGAGAAAUCAACUAGUUUAGAUCCAGCUGCUUCAUUUUACUGGUAAGGAGAGUUCCCACCUUGUAGUUUAACAAGCAAAUAAUGAGCGCUGGCCAUUUCCCACGGAGAGUAUAUCAGAGUGUGAACCUUGUUUGACAACUUUUCCGUCCUUGGUCACAGGAACGGAAUUAGAUUUCUGUAUUGCAGACAAUUGAUGUGCCCCAACAACGCAUGUUCGACCACCCAUCAUCUUCUCUAGUGCUUCUUGAACCAUGCUUUCUGAUACACUAUCUAGAGCACUGGUUGCUUCAUCCAGCAGUAGGAUUGUAGGGUCCCUCAAUAUUGCACGAGCCAAAGCUACUCUUUCUUUCUGGCCUCCAGAUAGCUGAACUCCUCUUAUCAUCAAUAAACAUUAUCCCUUAAUUGGAUCGUAAAAUCUUUUAAUGAGUCCAAUAAUUGUCGAUUUCCCUCAACACUCUGGCCAACUAAUUCAAUAGUGGCUCUUGAUCUAAUUUUGAGGUUGAGCCCUUUAGUAUCAACUGGUCAGCUCUUGAUGGAUAAGCAAAGAACACAUUUCUUAGCUCCACACGGCCCCGACAUCAUUCUUCAUUGCAUCAAUUUGCCAUAAGUUCUCUGGAUCAAUCUCACUCUUUCUGUCAAGUAUUGCAAAAACUGAACGAACAGCAUUACUUCCUCUUGACAAAUCUUUUGUCAGGCUUCCUGCUUCUGCAAUAGUAUAUGCAGUGAUUAGAAGUGCUAGAAAGUCUUGGAAAAGUCGCUCCGGAGAUAUUAAACUUUGUGAUAAUAACUUCCGUCCGUACCUGUAAGCUAAUGCUGUAAAAGCUGGCCAACUGCCCCAUCUGAGUUUACAAAUUUUUUAUCGCUGCAUUUUGAUUUUGAAGUGGAGCUUCGGCUUUCUUCAUGAAUUUUCCUAUCAUAUCUUCCAAUUGAGGCCUCUUCUCUUGUUGUUGAAAUUGUCACUGUGACCUAUUUUGAUUCUGAUUGCUCCAAGAGAAGUUGGGAUGCUUCAUCCAACUGUGAUUGAAAGCUUCUCCAUAUUGAUUGUGUUGUUGGCAUUAUCCCCACUAUGCAUAGUCUGCUUGCUCAAUUCCUUGCAUGAGUAUUGGGCAUUCCGAUGUUUUAUGUUCAGCUCCACAUUACUCACAAUUGCUCUUCUUAGCUUGUGCUGCUUGUGAUAUGUUUUUCACCUUGUGAUACAGAGAUUCGAUUUUUGCAAAUAUUGCUGAAUAAGUAUCUACCUCGUAGACACCCGGAGUUUUCCUUGGAAUCGCCCUCUCAGAAGACCACAUGGCUGAUGUGGUAGCCAUUCUCUUAAAUAAUUCCAAUGCCCCAUCAACUGUUCGUGUGGAUAUUGAGCCAUCUGACGCUAAAUCCACCAUGCUCUUGUGGUAUGGAAGUAACCCUGUGUAGAAGAAUCGGAUUUGGGUCUUUUUAUCAAACCCAUGUUGAGGACACUUCCGGAGCAUGUUUUUGAAUAUGUUCCAAGUUUCGUCAAAUGAUUCGGUUUCUCCUUGACUGAAUACUGAUAUGUCAUGUCUUAGCUUCACUAUCUUGGCUGGGGAGAAAAAUUUUGUGCAGAAUUUGUGUACCAACUCGUUCCAUGUAGUGAUACUUGCAACCGGAAGUGAAUCCAACCAUUCAAGUGCUCUGUCUCGCAGCGUAUGUGGAAACGGCCUUAGCCUAAUAGCUUCGUCGGAAAUUUCUUGGUAUCUGAAAUGUUGACACAUAUCCAAAAAUCGAGAUAUGUGUGUAUGUGGAUUCUCUUCGGCUUUGCCAUAAAACUGGUGUCCAUUUUGAAAUAGCUGUAUCACAUUGGUCUUCAACUGAAAAUUUGGCUGCCCAAACGGUGGAUACGCUAUGCUGGAUUGACUUUGAAUUACUUGAGUCAAGAAAUCUCCAAGAAUCUCAUUUCAUUCAUCCAUUGCCUCUCCUUCAUUAGCUUGAAUAAUGGGAUUGUUUAGUUCGUUAACCAUUUGUACUUGUGCUUCUCGGUGAUCUCUUUUUAGUCGAUGAAAUGUGCGCUCGAUUUCAAGAUCAGCUGGAGUCAAUUCUCCUCCAGUCGAUCGUGGCAUGCAAAUCUGAGAAACAAAAUCAGUACGAGCAUUGAGAUUCAAACAAUUUUAAUAACUAAAACAAAAAUAAAGGAUGAUAACCUAAAAUAAAAAAAAAUUAUACUAACAAAAUAAAAAUUGAAGUUCAAAUUAGUGUCUCGAGAAAUAAAAUAAAAUUAAAUUCAAUCCCCGGCAACGGCGCCAAAAAUUUGUUCACGAAAUUAUUUCUUUCGAUUUAAAACUACCGCAAGUGUAAGGGAACAUUAACAAGUAAUAAAGUGGAUUAAAUGAGUCCGAAUAUCGUCCCACAGAGAUUGAUUAGUUCAAUUUUAUCUAUCGUCGCCUUGACCGAAACAAUAGAAAUUCUUGAUAUUUUUGAUAACUAAAUUAUGAUUUAAUAACCCACUUAUAAAUAUAAAGCUUAAAUUAACUAAAUUAAAUGCAUGAUUAUAACUAAAUGCAAGUUUUUUAAAAAUAUGAUAACGAAAUGCAUACUAGGAUCCUGAAUCACCUUAUAUCAAUCCCCUUUAAUUCGAAUUUUAUAAAAUUGACAACACGAUUCAAUUAUGAAGACCAAUAUUCCUAAUUUAUUUAACAAUCUCUCUCGAAUAGAAUUAAACAUAUUUUCACAUGCGAUCCGAUUAUAUUUCUAUGAUGGAUGGGAGCAUAUAAAAAUGCAUUAAAGAUUUAUGAAUACUUAAAGAUUACGUAAAGUAUAACGGUAUAUUUAUAUCCCCUAUCGAACUUUACGACAAUUAACAUAAUGUCUAACUUAUUUUCCAUCUCUCGAGGGUAAAACAAGCCACAAAUCUCAUACAACUAUUGCGCACAUAAUUGUAGAGAAAAUAGAAUCCAUGUCAAUCAUUCAAUAAUUAAAAAAAAAACAUGUUUUAACAUCAAAUAAAUAAAAUUCAAGAUUAAGGAUUCAUAAUAUAAGGUUCAUCGCAAAUCCUAGCACAUGAAAAUCUAGCCUAACAUGGUUAAAAUAAAAGAAUACAUCAGAUUUUGGAUAAAAGACAUCACCGGGUUAUCAAAUCUUGGGAAAUCUUGAAGCUCUUCGUCUAAAUCUUCGUUCUUGCGCUCAAAAUCCUCUCCAAGAAGUGUUCUUCUACCUCCAAUAUGUUCUGCCUCUUUCUGAACGUCUUUUGGUAUUUAUAUCGCGUGAAAAUUAGAUUAUCAAAAGAGUUUCGGUCGUAUAAAGAAACUGCAGAAUCGGCCCCCAGAAUAUACCUAUGCGACCACAUAGUACAUUUCUAUACUGUCGCAUAGAGUAAAAAAAUUUUGAGAAAAAAUUCUCAGGAGGCUUCUAUGGGACCGCAUAGAGUUUAUACUAUGUGACCGAAUAGUUAUGUGAUUCUUUUCACCGAACAGCUUUUAGUUUUUUGAUUAUAACUUUUUCUCCUGAUCUCCGAUUGAAGUGAUUCAAAGUUCAUUGGACAGAAAACUCAAAGAUCUACACUUUUGAUGAAAUAGACUUUCUACUAUGCCAAAAAUGGAUCUCAAGUAGAGGCUAAAAAUCACGAGCGUAACUUUUUCGCCUGAAAGUUGAUACUUGAUAAUACUCCUAUCAUAUUUCACCUCUUUGACUCCUUUCCUCAUCUGAUUGACCUCUAACACUCUUGAAUCUUCAUUCCAUUUCCCGUCUCACCUAUGGAUUAUUUGCAACUUGGUCCCCGAACUUUCCGUUUGAUUCAUUUUGAUCCUUUUGCUUGUUUCUUCUAUUUCCAUCAUCUCAUAAUAUCACCAAGUUGGUACUUAGCUCAUUCACUUCCUUGAUUUGUCCUUCGGACCAUCUUUUGGAUAAUUUCACUUUGGUCCCUGAGCUAUCACUUUGCUCCAUUUUAUUUCUUUUUCGGCUCUUUUCUCCUGAAUUCUAUUAUUUCCAUAGAAACACCUACAUUGCAUGAAUUCAACGAGAUUAAGUCACAAUUUAAACAUUUUGCUUGUAAUUAAGUCAUGUUUGUGAUCUAAAUAAGUGUGCAAAAACACACUUAUCACAACGCAACACUCGUAAGGUGAUUUUUACUUAACUGUUAAUUAUAUACUGACAUCUAUAUUCUGUAAAAAAAAAAAAAUGUCUGUCCAAGUCUUCGCAUGGUUUCAACGAAAUGAUCAACCAUUGUUUAAACUUUUAAUAACAAUAAUAAUUUACUGAAACUUAUUUUGUGAUAACUUCCUAUAAAUUUUGAAGGUAUUUGUGAUUUUAUUUAUUUUUUGACUUAUAAUACAACGAAUUUUUAAUAUAAUUUGAUAAAAGUUGAUGAAAUGUAUAGUUAAAAAAUUGUGAAAUUUUUAAAAUGUGUGGUUCAAAUUAAUUAUUGGGUGUGUUUGAGCCCCAUUAUUUGGCAUUAUAAUGAGAUGAAUAGUUUUUUUUUUUUGAAAAAUGAGUGGUUGAAAUUUUUUUGAUUUAUGUGUAAUAUUAUUUUAUUUAAGAUUGUGUAAUUAAAAAUAAGAGAAAAAAAAUUUAACUUAAUAUAAUGAGAAAUCAUGGAGCUCAAGCUGGGGCAUUAUCUUUGAUUUAGCCCCCAAAGAAGUGACGACAUGAUGCAUGGAAAGGUUAUUUUAUUUUUCUCUUUUUAACUUCCAGUCGACCAACGACCCAGUCAAUGCUUUAAUAAAAAAGGGCGGUUAAAAUUAGAAAAUGGCUAGAAAAUAAUGUACUUGUACUCAAUGAAAGGCUGAAUGGUAGGCCCCAAUGGACUGUAAUGGGUUGAAAUAUUCUAAAAAUGAUAAAGAACGAGCUCCAAAUAUGAAUUUAGAUUAAAAUUUUAAUUUUAAUACCUGUUGAACUUAAACUGAUAUUAAAAAUAGAAAAAAUUAUUAUUGUGCUAUACACACUAAUCUUGUAAGGUUUGUAGUUUAACCUCAAUUCUUUGUCGCGCUUUACACCUUUAUAGAUCUUACACGUAAUGGAUCCACGUAAAACACGGAAUUCAUUUGUCCACAUUAAAAAAUUGAAUUGAAAUAUAGAACAAGACUUUUAGUCAACUCGAUCAUGCCGUUGCAAAGCCAUCACUCCAAGAGAUUCCAUUCCUAUUUCCCUUGAAAUUUCUGCGCUAGAUCUUGUUUACUUCCACCACAUAUAUCGCUCCACCGCGAGUAGAUUUUCCAGAAUGGCGGAGAGCAGCGACGCCGGAGGAUGUGGUAAGUGUUGCUGCAGCUUCAUAUUCACUUCAGGCUUAACAGCUCUCUUCAUGUGGCUGAGUCUACGUACCUCAAAGCCCACUUGCUCCGUACAGCAAUUUUUGGUCCCUGCACUCAACAAAACCGACAAUUCCACCGCCGCCAGGAACAACCACACCAUUUUCUUUGAAAUCAAGCUUGAUAAUGGGAUGAAAGACAAAGGCGUACACUAUGAUCCCAUAAAUUUCACCUUUUUUUAUGAUCAAAAUUAUAGCUUUCCCAUAGCCACCUACACAGUGCCAGGGUUCUACCAGGGUCAAGGUAAGCACACCAGCCGGAAAGCGCUGGUGGAGGCUAACGGAGUGCCGUGGGUGGCAGCUUUUGAGGCUGUUUCAAAUGGGUCCCCGGUGUCUUUUAGAGCGGGAUUGGCUA